rnacentral:rRNA from 1 species
GAGCACGUAGGUGGGUUUGUAAGUCAGAUGUGAAAGCCUUCUGUUCAACGGAAGAAUUGCAUCUGAAACUGCGAGUCUUGAGUGUAGGAGGGGAGAAUGGAACUUCUGGUGGAGCGGUGAAAUGCGUAGAUAUCAGAAGGAACUCCGGCGGCGAAAGCGAUUCUCUGGCCUAUUACUGACACUCAGUGUGCGAAAGCUAGGGGAGCAAACGGGAUUAGAUACCCCGGUAGUCCUAGCUGUAAACGAUGGGCACUAAGUAGAGGGGUUUU